rnacentral:rRNA from 1 species
UACAGAGGUGGCAAGCGUUGUUCGGAAUUACUGGGCGUAAAGGGCGAGUAGGUGGCCAUCUAAGUCAGACGUGAAAUCCCCCGGCUUAACCUGGGAACUGCGUCUGAUACUGGACGGCUUGAGUAUGGGAGAGGAACGUAGAAUUCCAGGUGUAGCGGUGAAAUGCGUAGAUAUCUGGAGGAAUACCGGUGGCGAAGGCGGCGUUCUGGACCAUUACUGACGCUGAGGUGCGAAAGCGUGGGGAGCAAACAGG